UGAUGCCCAGAACCCAGAAUUCUGUACUGUAAAUGUUUGGCUGCUGCUUUUUAUUUGUCAAAUUUCAUCCCAUGCUUUCUUUCUUUUUGCGAUCCUUUCUGAUGGUUGCCAUAAAUUUAUUGAAUAUGAAAGAAAUUAAUGCAUUACUAGGGGAGAAGAUGAGGAGGAGAUUUUAGCAGAGUUUGAGAACUUGGAAACUUAGGGAAGUGGGUUGUGUGGGAGUGUGUGUGUGUCACAUCUUUAGAGAAGCUAAUGUGGAGGCCGAUGAGCUAGCAAAGUCGGGAUGUGACAGAAUUGAGCCGCUUUGGGAGAAAGUGCUUUGAUCCUUUAUCUAUUUAUCUGUUCUACAGAGUUAGCUGGUUUUUUUGGGUUAUGUCCCUCUCUUUUAGUCUUGAAUUGGUUGUGGAAAACUAUGCACUGAUAUAUGGCAUCAGCAAAUACGAUUUACUUGACUCAGAUGCUGAUGAUCUUGCUGUGUGGUGCUGUUUCUGGGGUAUCACAGAACAUUUUAGAGGCAAAAUAAGGCACUGUCUUUUGCUGGAGUGAUUGUGGAGUCUUGGUGGUCCUUGCUUUUGGCAAAGUUGUAGGCUCAACUUUUUGUAGCCCUGUGUUCUGUGUCCUUUUAUUUAUGCUAUUUUCUGCUUUUGUAUCCUAGUUAGUUCUUUUCCUUUUUGGUGUUCCUUUUGCAUUGAAAGUCAUUCUUUGCGUGGCUUUCCUUGGCAGGUCUGUAACUCCUCAUGAG